rnacentral:rRNA from 1 species
UACGUAGGGGGCAAGCGUUGUCCGGAAUCAUUGGGCGUAAAGAGCGCGUAGGCGGUCCGGUAAGUCCGCUGUGAAAGUCGGGGGCUCAACCCUCGAAUGCCGGUGGAUACUGUCGGACUAGAGUCCGGAAGAGGCAAGUGGAAUUCCCGGUGUAGCGGUGAAAUGCGCAGAUAUCAGGUGGAACACCGAUGGCGAAGGCAGCAUCCUGGCCGGAGACUGACGCUGAGGCGCGAAAGCUGGGGGAGCGAACGGG